AUACGUAGGGGGCUAGCGUUAUCCGGAAUUACUGGGCGUAAAGGGUGCGUAGGUGUUUCUUAAGUCAGAAGUGAAAGGCUACGGCUCAACCGUAGUAAGCUUUUGAAACUAAGAGACUUGAGUGCAGGAGAGGAGAGUAGAAUUCCUAGUGUAGCGGUGAAAUGCGUAGAUAUUAGGAGGAAUACCAGUUGCGAAGGCGGCUCUCUGGACUGUAACUGACACUGAGGCACGAAAGCGUGGGGAGCAAACAGGAUUAGAUACCCUGGUAGUCCACGCCGUAAACGAUGAGUACUAGCUGUCGGGGGUUACCCCCCUCGGUGGCGCAGCUAACGCAUUAAGUACUCCGCCUGGGAAGUACGCUCGCAAGAGUGAAACUCAAAUGAAUUGACGGGG
rnacentral:rRNA from 1 species